rnacentral:rRNA from 1 species
UACGAAGGGGGCUAGCGUUGUUCGGAAUCAUUGGGCGUAAAGCGCACGUAGGCGGCCUGUUAAGUCGGGUGUGAAAGCCCAGAGCUCAACUCUGGAACUGCCCUUGAAACUGUAUGGCUUGAGUAUGAGAGAGGUGAGUGGAAUUCCCAGUGUAGAGGUGAAAUUCGUAGAUAUUGGGAAGAACACCGGUGGCGAAGGCGGCUCACUGGCUCAUUACUGACGCUCAGGCGCGACAGCGUGGGGAUCAAACAGG